AUUGAACGCUGGCGGCAGGCCUAACACAUGCAAGUCGAGCGGCAGCGGGAAAGUAGCUUGCUACUUUUGCCGGCGAGCGGCGGACGGGUGAGUAAUGCCUGGGAAAUUGCCCAGUCGAGAGGGAUAACAGUUGGAAACGACUGCUAAUACCGCAUACGCCCUACGGGGGAAAGCAGGGGACCUUCGGGCCUUGCGCGAUUGGAUAUGCCCAGGUGGGAUUAGCUAGUUGGUGAGGUAAUGGCUCACCAAGGCGACGAUCCCUAGCUGGUCUGAGAGGAUGAUCAGCCACACUGGAACUGAGACACGGUGCAGACUCCUACGGGAGGCAGCAGUGGGGAAUAUUGCACAAUGGGGGAAACCCUGAUGCAGCCAUGCCGCGUGUGUGAAGAAGGCCUUCGGGUUGUAAAGCACUUUCAGCGAGGAGGAAAGGUUGAUGCCUAAUACGUAUCAACUGUGACGUUACUCGCAGAAGAAGCACCGGCUAACUCCGUGCCAGCCGCCGCCGUAAAAC
rnacentral:rRNA from 1 species